UACGAAGGGGGCAAGCGUCGUUCGGAAUUACUGGGCGUAAAGGGCGCGUAGGCGGCUUAUCAAGUCAGGCGUGAAAUUCCCGGGCUCAACCUGGGGGCUGCGCUUGAUACUGAUGAGCUUGAAUGCGGGAGAGGAUAGUGGAAUUCCCAGUGUAGAGGUGAAAUUCGUAGAUAUUGGGAAGAACACCGGUGGCGAAGGCGGCUAUCUGGCCCGUAAUUGACGCUGAGGCGCGAAAGCGUGGGGAGCAAACAGG
rnacentral:rRNA from 1 species